rnacentral:rRNA from 1 species
UGCCAGACUCCUACGGGAGGCAGCAGUGGGGAAUAUUGCACAAUGGGGGAAACCCUGAUGCAGCGACGCCGCGUGAGCGAUGAAGUAUUUCGGUAUGUAGAGCUCUAUCAGCAGGGAAGAAAAUGACGGUACCUGACUAAGAAGCCCCGGCUAACUACGUGCCAGCAGCCGCGGUAAUACGUAGGGGGCAAGCGUUAUCCGGAUUUACUGGGUGUAAAGGGAGCGUAGACGGCAUGGCAAGCCAGAUGUGAAAUACCGGGGCUCAACCCCGGGACUGCAUUUGGAACUGUUAAGCUGGAGUGUCGGAGAGGCAGGCGGAAUUCCUAGUGUAGCGGUGAAAUGCGUAGAUAUUAGGAGGAACACCAGUGGCGAAGGCGGCUUGCUGGACCGUGAAUGACGCUGAGGCUCGAAAGCGUGGGGAGCAAACAGGAUUAGAUACCCCGGUA